rnacentral:rRNA from 1 species
CCUUAGAUGUUCUGGGCCGCACGCGCGCUACACUGACAGAGCCAACGAGUAUAAACCUUAACCGAGAGGUUUGGGUAAUCUUGUUAAACUCUGUCGUGCUGGGGAUAGGGCAUUGCAAUUAUUGCCCUUCAACGAGGAAUAUCUAGUAAGCGCAAGUCAUCAGCUUGCGUUGAUUACGUCCCUGCCCUUUGUACACACCGCCCGUCGCUACUACCGAUUGAAUGGCUCAGUGAGGCCUUCGGACUGACUCCAGGAGGUCGGCAACGACCACCCAGAGCCGGAAAGUUGGUCAAACUUGGUCAUUUAGAGGAAGUAAAAGUCGUAACAAGGUUUGAAGUAUGAUCCUUCCAUGGGUGACGCUCACGAGAAGCCUUUGUGGCCCUGCAAGGGGUACCUGCCGCGACUGUAAAAAAUGGAUGUGGGUAUUAAAUCGCAAGUCAGCCAUCAGCUGGCAACACUUUCGAAUUGCGGGAACACCCUAAAGCCCACCUCUACCAACCAGCCGGGGAAAUCCGGUUGGGGCCUGUGUUAACAGCACAGGAUAAGGUAAUAAUGAGGUGGGAUACGUCAGCCUUCAGUUGACAAUAUGGGCAAUCCGCAGCCAAGUCCCUAAGGUCCUGAUGGGCUAUGGGAAAGGUUCACAGACUAGGUGGAAGUGGGUCUGGGUCUGAGGACCUGGGCUUAAGAUAUAGUCGGGCUGUUUGCGAGAGCAAAUGGAAGUCACAAUGCUACAACUUAUUAGAAUAUUAUUCUAAACUGUGCCUUAACCGUUCCGUAGGUGAACCUGCGGAAGGAUCAUUACCAAAUGUCCAGUGAGCAAUCACUGCCUGCCUGUUUCGGUGGCCCUCGGGCUGCUGAUCAGUCAACCCUUUGUGAACCAAAAAAACCUUUCGCUUCUGCAGCGGGGCCUCAACCGCCCGUCAGCCUGCGGUUAGCAUCAAAAAUCAAACCUGUUGUCAAAACAUUGUCUGAUAACCAAAUUUUCGAAUGAAAAUUAAAACUUUCAACAACGGAUCUCUUGGUUCCCGCAUCGAUGAAGAACGCAGCGAAACGCGAUAGUUAAUGUGAAUUGCAGAAUUUAGUGAAUCAUCGAGUCUUUGAACGCACAUUGCGCCCAUUGGUAUUCCUUUGGGCAUGUCUGUUUGAGCGUCAUUACAACCCUCAGCUAACCUGCUGGUCUUGAGCCGGAGCAGGUUAAACACUGCGCCGGUUUUAAAGUUGUAAGCUCUGCUGGCUGCUCUGCCAACCCAGAACAUAGUAAAACACUACUUGUUGAGGUGAAGCUAAGCGGUACGGCCUGAACAAAACCUACCCAUUUUCAAGGUUUGACCUCAGAUCAGAUAAGGAUACCCGCUGAACUUAAGCAUAUCAAUAAGCGGAGGAAAAGAAACCAACAGGGAUUGCCUCAGUAACGGCGAGUGAAGCGGCAACAGCUCAAAUUUGAAAUCUGGAGCCUUCGGCUUCCGAGUUGUAAUUUGAAGAGGAUGUUUCGGUGCGACCUGGGCCUAAGUUCCUUGGAACAGGACGUCAUGGAGGGUGAGAAUCCCGUACAUGGCUGCAGGUUUGCUUCUAUGUGAAACUCCUUCGAAGAGUCGAGUUGUUUGGGAAUGCAGCUCAAAAUGGGUGGUAAAUUUCAUCUAAAGCUAAAUAUUGGCGGGAGACCGAUAGCGCACAAGUAGAGUGAUCGAAAGAUGAAAAGCACUUUGAAAAGAGAGUUAAACAGUACGUGAAAUUGUUGAAAGGGAAGCGCUUGCAAUCAGACUCGCCUUCAGUUGAUCAGCCUUCCUUCUGGUUGGUGCACUCUGCUGUUGGCGGGCCAGCAUCAGUUGGGGCGGUGGGACAAAGGCGGCAGGAAUGUGGCUCGCUUCGGCGAGUGUUAUAGCCUGCUGUGUCAUGCCACCAGCCCCGACUGAGGUCCGCGGUUCGCCUAGGAUGCUGGCUUAAUGGUUGUAAGCGAC